UACGUAGGUGGCGAGCGUUAUCCGGAUUUAUUGGGCGUAAAGCGUGCGCAGACGGAUUAUUAAGUCUAUGAUUAAAGCCUGGAGCUUAACUCCAGUUCGUUAUAGAUACUGAUAGUCUAGAGUGUAGUAGAGGCAAAUGGAAUUUCUAGUGUAGCGGUAAAAUGCGUAGAUAUUAGAAGGAACACCAGUGGCGAAGGCGAUUUGCUGGGCUAUUACUGACGUUCAUGCACGAAAGCGUGGGGAGCAAAUAGG
rnacentral:rRNA from 1 species